rnacentral:snRNA from 1 species
AGCUUUGCACAGUGACAGGAUCAUAGCCAAUGAGGCACGCUUAGUGCUAAUUGAAAACUUUUCCCAAUACCCUGGCAUUGCAAUUUUUGACAGUCUCUGUGGAGA